UGAUUUUAAAGUUUCAGUUAUUGCUUAUGGUAUGUGUGUAUAUAUAUAUAUACACACACACACAAUUUAAUUAUAAAAAAAUAAAUCUAGCUUUUCAUAGUUAUUACUUAACUGUUUUAAACAUAAGGUUUCCCUUGUGAUCAGAAUAGCUUCAACAGACUUACUCAAUGGAGGUUUAAAAUGAAAGAGAAGAAAUUAUUUCCUGCAUAUUUAUUUAUUUAUUUUUCCUCUUUAGGGCCACACCUGCAGCAUAUGAAAGUUCCUGGGCUAGGGGACAAAUGUGAGCUCUAGCUGCGGUGUACACCACAGCCAUGGCAACACCGGACCCAAGAAACAUCUGCAGCUUAUCUACGUUGCAUCUUUUGGCAAUGCUGCUGCAUCCCUUAAACCACUGAUCUAGGCCAGGAAUCCAACCCACAUCCUCAGAGAGAGACAAUGUCAGAUCAGGUCCUUAACCCACUGAGCCACCAUGGAAACUCCUAUUUCUUGCCUAUUUAGUUUGCUACUGGAAAAAAAUCAAAUAUUACAACAAUUCAAGCAAGUAGGUGAUGUUUAAUCUCAUUAUAUAGACACCGGUAGUACAAACAUUAGAACUGGAUUUGAAAGGGAAUCCAAACCUUUGAUUAUAGAAGUCCCCAGCAGUCUAGUGAUGCUACAGACAAUUCAGGAUUGAAAUCAAAUCACAUUUUUCAGCAUCUAAAAAAAUAUAUACAUAUAUAAUUUUUUAAUUACAAUUUUUU